AGAUUCAUUGCCGAAAGAUCGGCCCGCGUCGGAUUAGCUAGUUGGUGGGGUAAUGGCUCACCAAGGCGACGAUCCGUAGCUGGUCUGAGAGGAUGACCAGCCACACUGGGACUGAGACACGGCCCAGACUCCUACGGGAGGCAGCAGUGGGGAAUAUUGGACAAUGGGGGCAACCCUGAUCCAGCCAUGCCGCGUGUGUGAAGAAGGCCUUCGGGUUGUAAAGCACUUUAAGUGGGGAGGAAGGGGUCAACGUUAAUACCGUUGAUCAUUGACGCUACCCACAGAAUAAGCACCGGCUAACUCUGUGCCAGCAGCCGCGGUAAUACAGAGGGUGCAAGCGUUAAUCGGAAUUACUGGGCGUAAAGCGCGCGUAGGCGGCUAAUUAAGUCGGGUGUGAAAGCCCCGGGCUCAACCUGGGAAUUGCAUCCGAUACUGAUUGGCUAGAGUAUGAGAGAGGGAGGUAGAAUUCCACGUGUAGCGGUGAAAUGCGUAGAUAUGUGGAGGAAUACCGGUGGCGAAGGCGGCCUCCUGGCUUAAUACUGACGCUGAGGUGCGAAAGCGUGGGGAUCAAACAGGAUUAGAUACCCUGGUAGUCCACGCCGUAAACGAUGUCAACUAGCCGUUGGGCACCUUAGUGUGCUUGGUGGCGCAGCUAACGCGAUAAGUUGACCGCCUGGGGAGUACGGUCGCAAGAUUAAAACUCAAAUGAAUUGACGGGGGCCGCACAAGCGGUGGAGCAUGUGGUUUAAUUCGACGCAACGCGAAAACCUUACCAGGUCUUGACUCCAGAGAAUCGCUAGAGAUAGCUUCUGCCUUCGGGAACUCUGAGACAGGCUGCAUGGCUGUCGUCAGCUCGGUCGUGAGGUUGGGUUAAGUCCCGUAACGAGCGCAACCUUAUCCUUAUUUGCCAGCGGGUCAU
rnacentral:rRNA from 1 species